CACCUACUCCCUCUGUCCCAAAUUUCUUGUCUUAGAUUUGUCUAGAUACGGAUGUAUCUAAUACUAAAAUGUGACUUGAUACAUCCGUAUCUAGACAAAUCUGAGACAAGAAUUUUGGGACGGAGGGAGUACUUU
rnacentral:pre_miRNA from 1 species